UGAAUCCUAUGCUGAGGAUCAUGGCCUAU
rnacentral:sRNA from 1 species